GACGAACGCUGGCGGCGUGCUUAACACAUGCAAGUCGAGCGGUAAGGCCCCUUCGGGGGUACACGAGCGGCGAACGGGUGAGUAACACGUGAGCAAUCUGCCCCUCACAUCGGGAUAACUCCGGGAAACCGAAGCUAAUACCGAAUACGACCACCUCCGGCAUCGGAUGGUGGUGGAAAGUUCCGGCGGUGAUGGAUGAGCUCGCGGCCUAUCAGCUUGUUGGUGGGGUAACGGCCCACCAAGGCUUCGACGGGUAGCCGGCCUGAGAGGGUGACCGGCCACACUGGGACUGAGACACGGCCCAGACUCCUACGGGAGGCAGCAGUGGAGAAUAUUGGACAAUGGGCGAAAGCCUGAUCCAGCAACGCCGCGCGAGGGAUGACGGCCUUCGGGUUGUAAACCUCUUUCAGCAGGGACGAAGCGCAAGUGACGGUACCUGCAGAAGAAGCACCGGCCAACUACGUG
rnacentral:rRNA from 1 species